rnacentral:rRNA from 1 species
AUUGAACGCUGGCGGCAGGCCUAACACAUGCAAGUCGAGCGGAUGAAGGGAGCUUGCUCCUGGAUUCAGCGGCGGACGGGUGAGUAAUGCCUAGGAAUCUGCCUGGUAGUGGGGGAUAACGUCCGGAAACGGGCGCUAAUACCGCAUACGUCCUGAGGGAGAAAGUGGGGGAUCUUCGGACCUCACGCUAUCAGAUGAGCCUAGGUCGGAUUAGCAAGUUGGUGGGGUAAAGGCCUACCAAGGCGACGAUCCGUAACUGGUCUGAGAGGAUGAUCAGUCACACUGGAACUGAGACACGGUCCAGACUCCUACGGGAGGCAGCAGUGGGGAAUAUUGGACAAAGGGCGAAAGCCUGAUCCAGCCAUGCCGCGUGUGUGAAGAAGGUCUUCGGAUUGUAAAGCACUUUAAGUUGGGAGGAAGGGCAGUAAGUUAAUACCUUGCUGUUUUGACGUUACCAACAGAAUAAGCACCGGCUAACUUCGUG